GAUGAACGCUAGCGGCAGGCCUAAUACAUGCAAGUCGAGGGGUAGAAGAGGCUUGCUUCUUUGAGACCGGCGCACGGGUGCGUAACGCGUAUGCAACCUACCUUCAUCUGGGGGAUAGCCCGGAGAAAUCCGGAUUAAUACCGCAUAAAAUCACAGGAUGGCAUUAUCCAAUGAUCAAACAUUUAUGGGAUGGAGAUGGGCAUGCGUGCCAUUAGCUAGUUGUCGGGGUAACGGCCCACCAAGGCGACGAUGACUAGGGGAUCUGAGAGGAUGGCCCCCCACACUGGUACUGCGACACGGACCAGACUCCUACGGGAGGCAGCAGUAAGGAAUAUUGGUCAAUGGAGGCAACUCUGAACCAGCCAUGCCGCGUGCAGGAGGACUGCCCUAUGGGUUGUAAACUGCUUUUAUUCGGGAAUAAACCUUAUUACGUGUAAUAAGCUGAAUGUACCGAAGGAAUAAGGAUCGGCUAACUCCGUGCCAGCAGCCGCGGUAA
rnacentral:rRNA from 1 species